rnacentral:rRNA from 1 species
UACGUAGGGUGCAAGCGUUAAUCGGAAUUUCUGGGCGUAAAGCGUGCGCAGGCGGCUAUGCAAGACAGAUGUGAAAUCCCCGGGCUCAACCUGGGAACUGCAUUUGUGACUGCAUGGCUAGAGUACGGCAGAGGGGGAUGGAAUUCCGCGUGUAGCAGUGAAAUGCGUAGAUAUGCGGAGGAACACCGAUGGCGAAGGCAAUCCCCUGGGCCUGUACUGACGCUCAUGCACGAAAGCGUGGGGAGCAAACAGG